UACAGAGGUGGCAAGCGUUGUUCGGAAUUACUGGGCGUAAAGGGCGCGUAGGCGGCCUUCUAAGUCAGACGUGAAAUCCCCCGGCUUAACCUGGGAACUGCGUCUGAUACUGGGAGGCUUGAGUAUGGGAGAGGGAUGUAGAAUUCCAGGUGUAGCGGUGAAAUGCGUAGAUAUCGGGAGGAACACCUGAGGCGAAGGCGGGCUACUGGGCCGAUACUGACGCUGAUGCGCGAAAGCCAGGGGAGCGAACGGG
rnacentral:rRNA from 1 species